GGCUGGUCCGAGUGCAGUGGUGUUUACAACUAAUUGAUCACAACCAGUUGCAGAUUUCUUUGUUCCUUCUCCACUCCCACUGUUUCACUUGACAAGUAAAA
ensembl:misc_RNA Y_RNA Y RNA